rnacentral:rRNA from 1 species
AUUGAACGCUAGCGGCAUGCUUUACACAUGCAAGUCGAACGAGUGGCGGACGGGUGAGUAAUAUAUCGGAACGUGCCCAGUAGAGGGGGAUAACUACUCGAAACAGUGGCUAAUACCGCAUACUCUUGGAGCGGCCGCUAUCGGAUUAGCUAGUGGGGGGGGUAAAGGCUCACCAAGGCCACGAUCCGUAGCCGGUUUGAGAGGACGACCAGCCACACUGGAACUGAGACACGGCCCAGACUCCGACGGGAGGCAGCAGUGGGGAAUUUUGGACAAUGGGGGAAACCCUGAUGCAGCCAUCCCGCGUGUAUGAGAAGGCCUUCGGGUUGUAAAGUACUUUUGGCAGAGAAGCGGUAUCUGCAGAAUAAGCACCGGCUAACUACGUGCCAGCAGCCGCGGUAAUAC